CACUUUUAAUUAUAUUUUAUAUACCGCCGUCUUGAAUAGAUUAUAAAAUUUUGUUCAAAAUAAAAUUCUAAAAAUUUAGGUAAAGGUGUAAACUAUUUCAAAGAUGAAAUGUAUUACAUUAAAAAAAAUUUAAGGAUCAAAUUAAAAUAUAAUUUAAGAAAGGGGAUUUAUAAGUAUUAUUUAAUCAAAAUUAAAAUUUG
rnacentral:rRNA from 1 species